rnacentral:tRNA from 1 species
UCCACAGUAGCUCAGUGAUAGAACGGUCGGUUGUUAACUGACUAGUCAUAGGUUUGAAUCCUACUUGGGGAG